GGUUCUUUUCAUCUGUUACAAAAUUAGUAUUAAAAAAAAUUAAGUUCCACCUCAACUUGUUUCACUCUGAGGCCAAUCUGAAAUACUCAUGUAGAGACCUUAUUGAUGCUAUCAAGAAACUAAUCACUCCUUACAGUCAAGGCAAGAAGGUCAGAGUCAAGCAGACCCGACAAUCGCAACAGUAUCCUCAGUCAGCAUCUGUUCUGCAUCACACAGUAGGAUACAGACCAGGAGCCGGAGUGAGGUGGGCAAGAAGACACAGGAGGCAGGGAAAGGACUAAGGAAAGAAGAGAAUGACCUUCUGAGCCCAUGGAGGGAUGACCCUUCCCAACCUGUGGGUGAGUCCAGGUGACCAGUCCACACCAGAGCAGAUUAUCCUUUGAAGAUAGUGUUCCAGCAGUGGUAUUGCCUGUGAAGGGUAAAUUCUGUAGUUAAUUAAAGGACAACGUAACAGCCAUCUUCACUUAAAGUUAUGUCCUUUUGUUUUACCUUUAAAUAUAUGUUGCCAAAAAUUAAUAUAUUAUCAAGGAAAUUGCUUUUGAUAGCUUGUAACUCUUAGAAGGACUUCCUGAGUUACAAAAAUGAAUUUUUAAAAAAGAAUCCUAAUCCUAGGAAAGUACUUCAAAAUGUUAACUGUGUCUGUCUUUAGAUGGAACUUGAGUUUAAUUUUUUUUCCUGCUUUUCCUUUUACUGCAGUUUGCCAAAUUUUCUACAAUGUAGCAUUUCUAUAAUGCCACUUUUACAAUGUUUCCUAACACAAUGUAACAGUUUUUUAAAACAAUGUGUGCUUUUCUCUCUUACUUUAUAGAACAAGCCGCUGUAGAUUAUAAGCAUUUUUUUUACUCACCCUCCUGCUUAUUCACGUUCACAGUUGAGAAAAAUGUUUGAAUUCCAGAUCGUCAUUUUUUCCAGAAAAUAUUUUGUAAAUAACUUAAUUGGACUCAAGCAAAGGAAACUGAAGUUACUGAUAAAAACUGUAAAUUACAUUUACAGAAAAUACAAUUAUAUCUUUAGUUCCACCUGUAUGAUUUGAGUGAAUUUAAGGCUACUGUCUGUGUCAGUUCAGGCUGUUAAAACAGAAUACCGUACAAUGGGUGGCUUAUAAACAAAGACGUUUCUUUCUCACCGUUCUGGAGGCCAGAAGUCCAAGAUGAGAGAACCAGCACGGUGCGUUCUGGUGAGGGCCUUCCUCCAGGUUGCAGACUUCUCACCAUGUCAUCACGCAGAAGAGAGCAGAAGAAGCAUGCCCUGUCUUGUGAGGUUGAUAAGGGUACUAAUCCCAUUCAUGAGAGCUCCACGCUCAGGACCUUAUCUAUUCCUAAUUACCUCCAAAGGUCCCACAUCCCAUAUCAUCACAUUGAAAGGGUUAGAGUUUCAACAUAUGGAUUUGGUGGGGGACAGAAAAUAUUUCAUCCAUAACAGCUAUCAAGCCACAAAGCUCAUCUUUCCCCAAGAUACAGCUAGGUACGUGUACACACACACACACACACACACACACACACACACACACACACACACACACACUGGGUCUUUUAACACUCAGUCCAUUUGAUGCCACUUCUCCUGAUAUAGGAAUACAGAAGCAAUAACAGA
ensembl:lncRNA